rnacentral:rRNA from 1 species
AUGUUUCAGUAUGCAGUCAAGCAGGCAACAAGGGAUCUGUGGGACGAGGCCAAGGUGUACGUGCGCAACCUUCCCUACGACGUUAGCAGCGAGCGCCUCGUGCAGCUCUUCGAGCAGGACGGCGUCAUCGAGGUCACCGUGUCGAUAUGUGGUAUCGGUGACAGAAGGUGCAUCACACGCUUGGGUAUUUUCUUCCGCACGAGUUUUGAGAAUGCCAAAGUGGUCACUGCGGUGGAUUGUAUUAUGUCACUGGUAUGUGAUAAGAAUUGGGAACAUUAUUCUUUUGCCACCCAGGAUUCGGAGCUCCGUGAAAAGCUAUGGGAGGUUCCUGGUGUUCCUGUGAUAUAUGGUCUGAAGAACUCCUUGUUCAUUGAGCAACCAUUCGUUCAGCAAAGUCAGUUUGCUCAGUUGGAUGAGAAGUGCAACUUAUUGAAAAAUCCGAAUUUAAGAAGCUACCCAUGA